rnacentral:rRNA from 1 species
GAUGAACGCUGGCGGCGUGCCUAAUACAUGCAAGUCGAGCGAACUGAUUAGAAGCUUGCUUCUAUGACGUUAGCGGCGGACGGGUGAGUAACACGUGGGCAACCUGCCUGUAAGACUGGGAUAACUUCGGGAAACCGAAGCUAAUACCGGAUAGGAUCUUCUCCUCCAUGGGAGAUGAUUGAAAGAUGGAUUCGGCUAUCACUUACAGAUGGGCCCGCGGUGCAUUAGCUAGUUGGUGAGGUAACGGCUCACCAAGGCAACGAUGCAUAGCCGACCUGAGAGGGUGAUCGGCCACACUGGGACUGAGACACGGCCCAGACUCCUACGGGAGGCAGUAGUAGGGAAUCUUCCGCAAUGGACGAAAGUCUGACGGAGCAACGCCGCGUGAGUGAUGAAGGCUUUCGGGUCGUAAAACUCUGUUGUUAGGGAAGAACAAGUACGAGAGUAACUGCUCGUACCUUGACGGUACCUAACCAGAAAGCCACGGCUAACUACGUGCCAGCCGCCGCGGUAA